AGAAUCAACGCUGGCGGCGUGCCUAACACAUGCAAGUCGAAUGAGAAAGUCCGCAAGGACAAGUAAAGUGGCGACCGGGUGAGUAACACGUGACUAACCUACCUUUUAGUGGGGGAUAACUCCGGGAAACCGGGGCUAAUACCGCAUAACAUCGCAGGAUCAAAGCAGCAAUGCGCUGGAAGAGGGGGUCGCGGCUGAUUAGCUAGUUGGCGGGGUAAUGGCCCACCAAGGCGAAGAUCGGUAUCCGGCCUGAGAGGGCGCACGGACACACUGGAACUGAAACACGGUCCAGACUCCUACGGGAGGCAGCAGUGGGAAUUUGCGCAAUGGGGGAAACCCUGACGCAGCAACGCCGCGUGGAGGAUGAAGUCCUUGGGACGUAAACUCCUUUCGACCAAGACGAUAAUGACGGUACUGGUGGAAGAAGCACCGGCUAACUCUGCGCCAGCAGCCAC
rnacentral:rRNA from 1 species